CAAAACACUAACACAGACUCAUUUUCUUGUAGAUAGAGACACAUCCCUUCUAAAGGGUUUAUUUUGGAUUUCAUAUCUAAAAUUUGAGAUUGUUUAGAGAUUAUUAGUAAGAGAUUAGGAAUCAAGCAAAUGAAAGUUGCUAGGAUCUUCUCAAACCUGCUCUUCUUCUUUUUACUCAAACCGGAAAAAGUAGACGCAAGUCUUUGCUAUUUUCAUCUUUUCAGCAGGCUAUCGCCAUUUUUAGGAGGUUGUUGCUUCCUCUGAAUAAGCGGCUCAUAUUGCUAUUCUUCAUUCUAGAAUUAACUGGUUGCGACUACUAUUGGGUCUGUGUUGGCUUUUUGGAUGGUUCCGAUGCAAACACUUGAUUAGGAUGGCUAGAAGAUAGCUACCGCUCUUAUGGGAAGACACAUAAGUCCGCUUCCUAAGUCAUUUUUCUUUAACAACAACAUUUCAAGUACUUGCUAUGAUGCUUAUUUCUGGAAGUAUGUUGACUUCUCUUCAUUAAUUGUUUGAGCUGUCUUACAGUCCUCCUGUGACGGGUUAUUGAGUAAUGUAGAAUUGUACUACCACUUCAGCUGGGCAAUACGGUGUAAUAUGCGAAGCAGUUGAGCCAUAGUUCUUCGAUCGUUAUAUUCUUGCGAUAGCGAAGGUGUGGCUCAUCCUCUAAGAGAGAGUAGAUGCAAAGGUUCGGAUCGAAGAUCUUCGCGAGACAGCCCCAGCACUAUAGCAUGUCAGGAAUAAGGGGGACAUAGUGAACGUAACCACUCCCUUGAUAGGGGAGUCACGAUUGGGGGCUGUGACUCCCCUAUCCUUUCAAUUUGUUGAUUCCUGGGUCUUUUUUGUUAUCAUUGUUGGAAUAUUUUUGUUGAUAACUUGGUCAAUGCAGUUGCCCACUAUAUAGAC